GGAGGUUAGAUGGGGAUGGGGGAGUAUGGAGGUUAGAUGGGGAGGAUGUGGAGGUUAGAUGGGGAUGGGGAGGAUGGAGGUUAGAUGGGGGUGGGGGGGAGGAUGUGGAGGUUAGAUGGGGAUGCGGGAGGAUGUGGAGGUUAGAUGGGGAGAAUGUGGAGGUUAGAUGUGGGUGGGGGGUAGGAUGUGGAGGUUUGAUGGGGAGGAUGUGGAGGUUAGAUGGGGGUGGGGGUAGGAUGUGGAGGUUAGAUGGGGAGGAUGUGGAGGUUAGAUGGGGUGGGGGUAGGAUGUGGAGGUUAGAUGGGGAGGAUGUGGAGGUUAGAUGGGGAUGGGGAGGAUGUGGAGGUUAGAUGGGGAGGAUGUGGAGGUUAGAUGGGGA
ensembl:lncRNA